rnacentral:rRNA from 1 species
GAUGAACGCUAGCUACAGGCUUAACACAUGCAAGUCGAGGGGCAGCAUGAACUUAGCUUGCUAAGUUUGAUGGCGACCGGCGCACGGGUGAGUGACACGUAUCCAACCUUCCGUUUACUCAGGGAUAGCCUUUCGAAAGAAAGAUUAAUACCUGAUAGUAUGGUGAGAUUGCAUGAUAGCACCAUUAAAGAUUUAUUGGUAAACGAUGGGGAUGCGUUCCAUUAGGUAGUAGGCGGGGUAACGGCCCACCUAGCCGACGAUGGAUAGGGGUUCUGAGAGGAAGGUCCCCCACAUUGGAACUGAGACACGGUCCAAACUCCUACGGGAGGCAGCAGUGAGGAAUAUUGGUCAAUGGGCGAGAGCCUGAACCAGCCAAGUAGCGUGAAGGAUGAAGGUCCUACGGAUUGUAAACUUCUUUUAUACGGGAAUAAAGUAUCCUACGUGUAGGAUUUUGUAUGUACCGUAUGAAUAAGCAUCGGCUAACUCCGUGCCAGCAGCCGCGGUAAUACGGAGGAUGCGAGCGUUAUCCGGAUUUAUUGGGUUUAAAGGGAGCGCAAACGGGAGAUUAAAUCAGUUGUGAAAGUUUGCGGCUCAACCGUAAAAUUGCAGUUGAUACUGGUUUCCUUGAGUGCAGUUGAGGCAGGCGGAAUUCGUGGUGUAGCGGUGAAAUGCUUAGAUAUCACGAAGAACCCCGAUUGCGAAG